rnacentral:rRNA from 1 species
AACUGUCCGCGUGAGUGAUGAAGGCUUUCGGGUCGUAAAGCUCUGUCAGAGGGGAAGAAACUAAGUGGCGAAUAGGCCUCGGUGACGGUACCCUCAGAGGGAGCACCGGUUAACUCCGUGCCAGCAGCCGCGGUAAUACGGAGGGUGCGAGCGUUGUUCGGAAUUAUUGGGCGUAAAGCGCGUGCAGGCGGCCUGUUAAGUCUGUUGUGAAAGCCCGGGCUCAACCCCGGAAGUGCAUUGGAUACUGGCAGGCUUGAGUACGGGAGAGGGAAGUGGAAUUCCGAGUGUAGAGGUGAAAUCCGUAGAUAUUCGGAGGAACACCGGUGGCGAAGGCGGCUUCCUGGACCGAUACUGACGCUGAGACGCGAAAGCGUGGGGAGCAAACAGGAUUAGAUACCCUGGUAGUCCACGCCGUAAACGAUGGGUACUAGGUGUUGCGGGUAUUGACCCCUGCAGUGCCGAAGCUAACGCAUUAAGUACCCCGCCUGGGGAGUACGGCCGCAAGGCUAAAACUCAAAGGAAUUGACGG